GUGGGGAAUUUUGGACAAUGGGCGCAAGCCUGAUCCAGCAAUGCCGCGUGCAGGAAGAAGGCCUUCGGGUUGUAAACUGCUUUUGUACGGAACGAAACGGUCCUGGUUUAUACCCGGGGCUAAUGACGGUACCGUAAGAAUAAGCACCGGCUAACUACGUGCCAGCAGCCGCGGUAAUACGUAGGGUGCAAGCGUUAAUCGGAAUUACUGGGCGUAAAGCGUGCGCAGGCGGUGCUGUAAGACAGGCGUGAAAUCCCCGGGCUUAACCUUGGAAUUGCGCUUGUGACUGCAGUGCUGGAGUGCGGCAGAGGGGGAUGGCAUUCCGCGUGUAGCAGUGAAAUGCGUAGAUAUGCGGAGGAACACCGAUGGCGAAGGCAAUCCCCUGGGCCUGCACUGACGCUCAUGCACGAAAGCGUGGGGAGCAAACAGGAUUAGAUACCCGGGUAGUCC
rnacentral:rRNA from 1 species